CUAGGAGCCGUAGUUUGUUUGUAUUGCCGUAGUUUGUGGGUGGUGGAUAUCCAGAAUAGUGUAGAAUGCAUUUACGCUCGUGCUGGGAUGCCGAGUUUAUUUUUAUAGUAGUAUAUAGUCUGUUUUGGACUCUCGGGUGCCAUUGUGGUUGACGGUGGAUUCAGUUUGCAAUUUUUGCAUCGUAUUGUGCUGAGAGCAUAUUUAUUAUGGUUAUAGAUCAGUUAGACCCUUCUGUUUUGACUAUAGCCUGUGAGCGCCUAAAUGAACUUCGCAAAGACACUUAUAAUGUCACACCCCGGAUUACUUGUUUUCACGGGCUCGCUAACAGACCUGUCGUAUACAUAGGUAUUUUUUCUGUAUACGAAGCGAAAAAGUAGAAGUAUCUAUAAUCAUACAAUACCACAAACAGUAGUAUAGAGCAGCUAGAAAAAAAAAAUCAAAUAUAUAAACUGUGGUUCAAUACAUAUAUGUCAUCCAGGUAUACAAACACUCGCUCUGGCGAGAUAUAACAACUAUAUGUAAAGACCAAAAAACUACAACUACCUGUAGCUAGUGCUCCUCUAGCUCUGCG
rnacentral:lncRNA from 1 species